rnacentral:lncRNA from 10 species
GCUUGAGUGUGAUUAAAAAAAAAAAAUUAAAAGGUAAACUUCACCGUGCAGGAAGAAGCAUAGGAAAAGAGAGAGAGAAAAGAACAAAGAAAAAAAAGAAUAGCAAGUCUCUCCAAGUACUAUGGAAACAAACAGAAAGUGGAAUUAGGAAAAAAGAGAGGAAGAAGGUCUGAGUAGUCCAAGGGACACGGGAGGCCAGUUGGGAAGACCGCCCGGGCGAGACCAGGAAGAUCAAGGCCACAGUGAAUCACGAUCCCAUCCCUCUGCUCAACCUGAAUUGUACUGCUGCUGGCGAGAGAGAUCUGGUCGACCUUAGACAUGGCAAGGCGAGAGGUGAGGUCCAUCAGGUCGACCUUAGUCCAACGCUCACAGCCGACAUCUCUCUCAAAAUAAAUAAACAAAUCCAACAGUAAAUAUUUAACAAUGACAAAAAAAUUAAAGAACAAUACAUAAACAGGUUGCAGUUAACAAAAGUAAAAAGUAAUUAAUAUCACAAUUAAGAUCUUCUCCCCUGUCUCUCUGUUUGUCACACCCAGGCUGGAGUGUGUGACAAAAUAAAAAAUCUAAAAGAUCAACUUUAUUGUGCAGGAAGGAAUGUAGGAAAAUAGAGAAAAGAACAAAGAAGAAAAACAAAAGCAAAUCACUCUAAGUACUGUUACUGUGGAAACAAACUAAAAGUGGGUUAAAAAAAAAAAAAAACAGAGGCUGGGCGUGGUGGCUCAUGCCUGUAAUCCCAGCACUUUGGGAGGUCAAGGCAGGCAGAUCACGAGGUCAAGAAAUCAAGGCCAUCCUGGCCAACAUGGUGAAAUCCCGUCUCUACUAAAAAUACAAAAAUUAGCUGGGCUUGGUGGCGUAUGCCUGUAGUCCUAGCUACUCAGGAGGCUGAGGAAGGAGAAUCAUUUAAACCCAGGAGGUGGAGGUUGCAGUGAGCCAAUAUCAGCCACUGCACUCCAGCCUGGCAACAGAGUGAGACUCCAUCAAGAUCAACAACAACAAGAACAGCAAAAAACAGAUGAAGAAGGUCUGAGUAGUCUCAGGUACACGGGGGGCCCCCCAAGAUGGGAAGACCACCCGGGUAAAACCUGGGAGUCUGAGUUCUCAGUGAAUCGGGAAUGCAUCCCUCUGCUGGACCUGAAUGGUACUGUCACCAGCAAGAGGCAUCUGGUCAACCUUAGACGUGGCAAGCUGAUGGCUAAGUCCAACACUUGCAGCCGAAAUUGGUCUCAAAAUAAAUAGACAAAAAAUCCGAUGGUAAAUAUUGAACAAUAACGAAAAAUAAUAACAAUAUUAAGGACCAAUAAAUAAAUAAGUGGGAGUGAACAAAGGUAAAAGAUAAUUAUCACAAUGAAGAUUAUCACAAUGAAGAUUUUCUCCUCUCUCUCUCUUUCUCAAUUUGUCAUGCCAGGCUAGAGUGUGACAGAAAUCUAAAAGAUCAACUUCAUCGUGCAGGAAGGAGCAUAGAAAAAUAGAGAAAAGAAGAAAACAGCAAACCAUUCUGAGUACCGUGGAAACAAACUAAAAGUGGGCUUAGAAGGAAAACAGAGGAAGAAGGUCUGAGUAGUCCCAGGGACUCCAGAGGCCAAGAUGGGAAAGCCACCCAGGCGAGACAGGGGAGAUGGAAGCCACAGGGAAUCACUAUCACAUACCUCUGCUGGACCUGAAUGGUCCUGGCGCCAGCUAGAGCCAUCUGGUCGACCUUAGACAUGUCAAGGCAGGAGCCAUCUGAUCGACCUUAGACUUGGCAAGCUGGUGGCUAAGUCCAGUGCUCACUGCCGACAUCUGUCUCAAAAUAAACAAAAAGUCCAACAGUGAAUAUUUAACAAUAACAAAAAUAUAAUACCAAACAAUAUUAAAGACCAAUAAAUAAGUGGGAGUGAACAAAGGUAAAAGGUAACUAAUAUCACAAUUAAAAUAUUCUGCUAUCUCUCACUCUCUCUCUUCCCCUUUCCAUUUGUCACACCCAGGCUGGAAUGUGACAAAAAAAUAUAAAAGGUCAAUUUCAUCAUGCAGGAAUGAGUGUAGAAAAAGGGAGAAAAGAACAAAGAAGAAAAACAACAGCAAGUCUCUCUAAAACUUCAGUUAGUUUCACUGUAGAAAAAAAAAUUGAAAGUGGGGUUAGGAAAAAAAGGAAGGAGGAGGAUAAGUUCAGGUAGCCUGAGGGACUAGGGAAGCCAAGUGGGAAGACCACCUGGGUGACACUGGGAAGAUCGAGACCACAGUGAAUCAUGAUCACAUCCCUCUGCUGUACCUGAAUAGUACUUCCAAAGGCAGGAGCCAUCUGGUCAUCCUUAGUCAUGGCAAGGCGAGAGCCAUCUGGUUGACCUUAGAUAAGGUGAGAGCCAUCUGGUUGACCUUAGACUUGGCAAGCUGGCAGCUAAGUCCAAUCCUCUCAGCUGACAUCUUGGAGAGAGAGACAGACAGACAGACACAAACAGCGAGACAGGAGAAAAUCUUAAUUGUGUUAUUAAUUACUUUUCACCUUUGUUCACUCCAAACAGAAAAAAAUCCAACAGUGAAUAUUUAACAAUAACAAAGAUAUAACUACAAACAAUAUUAAAGACAAAUAAAUGGGAGUGAACAAAGGUAACAGGUAAUUAAUAUCACAAUUAAAUUCUUCUAAUCUCUUUCUAUCUCUCACUCUCGAUUUCUCUCUGUCAACUUCAUCAAGCAGGAAGGAGCACAGGAAAAUAUAAAGAGAAAACAAGAAAAAAAUAGAAAGUCACUCUAAGGACUGUGGAAACAAACUGAAAGUAAGGUUAGGAAAAACAAAGGAAGGAUGUCGAAAUAGUCUGAGGGAAUCAGGAGGCCGAGAUCAUCAGAAGGCCACCCUGUAGAGACCUGGAAGACGCCCAGGGCACAGUGAAUCACGAUCCGAUCCCUCUGCUGGACCUGAAUGGUACUGCUGCUGCUGAGAGCCAUCCUCUCGACCCUAGACUUACCAAGCUGGUGGCUAAAUACAACCCUCGUGGGAAGAUCUGUCUCAAAAGAAAAAAAUCCAACAGGGAAUAUUUAACAGUAACAAAGAACUAACCAUAACAAUAUUAAAGACAAAUAAAUAAGUGGGAGUGAACAAAGGUGAAAGGUCAAUUAUAUCACAAUUAAGAUCUUCUCUCUCUUUCUCCAUUUGUCACAACCAGGCUGGAUUGUUCCAAAAAAAAAAAAUCUAGAAGGUCAAAUUCAUCAUGCAGGAAGGAGGGUAAGAAUAUAUAUAGAGAGAAAAGAACAGAGAAGAAAUACAACAGCAACUCACUGUAAGUACUGUAGAAACAAACUGAAAGUUGGGUUAGAAAAAAAAAAAGAAGAAGGUCCAAGUAGUCUGAAGGACUCGGGAGGCCAAGAUGGGAAGUCCACCCAGAUGACACCGGGGAGAUCGAGGCUGCAGAGAAUAAGGAUCACAUCCCUCUGCUGGACCUGAAUGGUACUGAUGCUGUUGAGAGCCAUCUGGUCCUCAGACAUGGGAAGGCAAGAGCCAUCUGUUCGACCUUAGACAUGGCAAGAUGAAAGCUAAGUCCAGUGCUCGCUGCCAACACGUUUCUCAAAAUAAAUAAACAAAAAUUUCAACAGUAAAUAUUCAACAAUAACAAAGAAAUAAUAACAACUUUAAAGACCAAUAAGUAAAUAAGUGAAAGUGAACAAAGGUAAUAGGUGAUUAAUAUCACAAUUAAGAUCUUCUAUCUCUCUACUUCUCUGUUACUCUCUAGCUGUCUCUGUUUGUCAAACCCAUGCUAGAGUGUGAUUAAAAGAAAUAUAAAAGUCAACUGCUUCCUGCAGGAAGGAGCAUAGGGACAUAACGAGAGAAAAGAACAAAGGAAAAAAAAAAAAAACAGCAAGUCACUCUAUGUAUGUGGAAACAAACUGAAAGUGGGGUUAGAGAAAAAAAAGAAGGUCCGAGUAGUCUGAGGGACUCAAGUGGCUGAGAUGGGAACACCAGCCGGGUGAGACUGGAGAGAUCAAGGUUACAGUGAAUCACAAUUACCUCCCUCUGCUGGACCUGAACGGUAUUACCGGAGGCAAGAGCCAUCUGGUCGACCUUAGACAUGGCAAGGCAAAAGUCCUCUGGUUGACCUUGGUCCAAUGCUCGUGGCUGACAUCUCUCUCAAAAUAAGUAAGCAGAAAAUCCACCAGUGAAUAUUUAACAAUAAAAAAAGAUAACAUUGUGUCAAUAAAUAGGAGUGAACAAAGGUGAAAAGUAAUCGAUAACACAAUUAAGAUGUUCUCCUCUCUCUCUCUCUCUCUGUUUGUAACACCCAGACUGGAGUGGGUUCAUAUUUAUCAUGCUGGAAGGAGUGUAGAAAAAUAGAGGAAUGAAGAAGGAAAACAACGCAAGUCAUUCUAUGUACUGUGGAAACAAACUGACAGUGGGUUUAGAAAAAAACAACAGAGGAAGAAGGUCUGAGUAGUCCCAGGCUGGAGUGUGACAAAGGAAAAUCUAAAAGGUCAACUUCAUUUACAGGAAAGAGCAUAGGAAAACAGACAAAAGAACAAAGAAGAAAAACAAUAGCAAGUCACUCUAAGUACUGUGGAAAUAAACUAAAUGUCAGGUUAGGAAUAGAACAGUGAAAGAAGGUCCCAGUAGUCCCAAGGACUCGGGAGGCUGAGACACGAAGACUGCCCAGGUGAGACUACAGAGACUGAAGUUGCAGUGAAUCAUCACAUCCUGCUACUGGACUUGAACAGUACUGCUGCUGAUGAGAGCCAUCUGGGCGACCUUCGACAUGGCAAGGUGCGAGCCAUCUGAUCAGCCUUAGACAUGGCAAGGCAAGAGCCAUCUGGUCAACCUUAGAAGUGACAAGGGACAGCCACCUGGUCGACCUUUGACAUGGCAGGAUGACAGCCAUCUGGUCGACCUUAGAGAUGGGAAUGCAAGAGGCUUCAGGUCCACCUUCAACAUGGGUGAAGUGUAACCAAAAAAAAAAAAAAAAUCCAAAGGUCAAACUCAGUUUGCAGGAAGGAGCAUAGGAGAAUAAAGGAUGGAACAAAGAAGAAAAAGAACAGCAAGUUACUCUGAGUAUUGUGGAAACAAACUGAAAUUAGAGUGAGAGAGAGAGAGAAAAAAAAAGAAGGUCCGAGCAAUCUCAGAUAUAUGAGAGGCCAAGAUGGGAAGAUCACUUGGGUAAGACUGGGAAGAUUGAGUCUGCAGUGAGUCACAGUCGCAUCAUUCUGCUGGAUUUGAAUGGUACUGCUUCUGGCCCAAGUUGUCUGGGCAACCUUAGACAUGGUAAGGCAAGAGCCAUCUGAUCAACAUUAGACAUGGCAAGGUGAAAGCCAUCUGGUCGACAGGGAUUCUAAUAGAAGACACUCUGGGCCGAUGGCAGACGUCUAAUAAUAGAGACAAAGGGUGAGCCCGGACAUUUUAAUGGGAGAGAAGCCUGGAUGACCCCAGGUAUUCUAAUGUUAGAAACACCUACGUGACUCCAGGCCUCCUAAUGGUGGAGACUCCCAGCCUACCCCAGGCAUUCUCUUGUGAGAGACUUCUGGCUGACCCCAGGCAGUCUAUUUAUGGAGACACCUGGGAGACCCCAGGCAUUCUGGGAGGAACUCCUGGCCAACCGCAGGGAGUCUAAUGAUAGAAACACCUGAACGACCACAGGAAUUCUAAUGGAAGAGACCCCUGGCAGGCCCCAGGCAGUCUAAUGAUAGAGGCACCUGGGUGGCCCCAGGUAUUCUAACCAGAGAGACUCCUGGCCAACCCCAGGCAGUCUAAUCAUAGAGACACCUGGGUGACCCCAGGCAUUCUAAUGAGAAAGACUCCCGUGUGACAGCAGGCAGUCUAAUGAUAGAGACACCUGGGUGACCCUAAGCAUUCUAAUAGGAAAGACUCCUGGCUGACCCCAGGCAGUCUAAUGAUACAGAUACCUGGGUGACCCCAGGCAUUCUAAUGUGAGAGAUGCCCUGCUACAUUCAGGAAGUCUAAUGAUAGAGACAAUUUGACGACCCCAGGCAUUCAAAUGGGAAGGCUCCCAGCCAACCCCAGGCAUUCUAAUGGCAGAGACUCCCCGCUGACCCUAGGCAUUCUAAUGAUAGAGACACCUGGGCCACCCCAGGUAUGGGAGAAACUCUCAGGUAAACUCAAGUAUUCUAACAGAGGUACUCCUGGCUGGCCCCAGGCAGUCUAAUGAUAGAGACAGCUGGGUGACCACGGGUGUUCUAAUGGGAGAGACUCCUGGUCAACCCCAGGCAGUCUAAUUAUUAAAGACACCUGGGCUACCCCAGACAUUCUAAUGGGAGCAACUCCCGACCAACCCCAGGCAGUCUAAUGAUAGAGACAUGUGGGCCAUCACAAGAAUUCUAAUGGAAGAGGUUCCUGGCUGACCCCAGGAGAGACACCAUUCUAAUGGGAGAGACUCUGGGCCGUUUCCAGGCUGUCUAAUGAUAGAGAAACCUGGGCGACUGCAGGCAUUUUAAUGAGAGCGGCUCCUGUCCGAACACCAGCAGUCUAAUGAUAGAGACACCUGGGCAACCCCAGACAUUCUAAUGGGAGAAAAUCCUGUGCAAUCCCAGGCAGUCUAAUUAUAAAGACACCUGGGCAACCCCAGGCAUUCUAAUGGGAGAGACCCCCGGCUGACACCAGGCAUUCUUAUGGGAAUGACUCCUGGCUGAGCCAGGCAGUCUAAAGAUAGAGACACCUGGGCAUACCAAAGCAUUCUAAUGGGAUAGACUAACGGCUGACCCAAGGUAGUCUAAUGAUAGAGACACCUGGAUGGCCCCAGGCAUACUAAUGGAAGAGACUCCUGGCUGACACCAAGCAUUCUAAUGAUAGAGACAACUGAUCAACCCUAGGCAUUGAAAUGGAAGAGACUCCUUCUCGAACCCAAGCAUUCUAAUAAUAGAGACAGCUAAUCAACUACAGGCAUUUUGGAGAAACUCCCGAUCAACCACAGACAUUCUAAUAAUAGAGACACCUGGGCGACCACAGGCAUUCCAAUGGGAGAGACUCCUGGCCAACACCAGGUGGUCUAAUUAUAGAGACACCUGGGUGACCCCACGCAUUCAAAUGGGAGAGACUCCUGGCCGACCCCAGGUGGUCUAAUUAUAAAAAAAAAAAAACCUAGGUGACCCCAGUCAUUCUAAUGGCAGAGACUAUCAGCUGAACCCAGGUAUUCUAAUGGGAGAGACUCCUGGCUGACCCUAGACUACCUUAGGUAGUCUAGUUAUAAACACACCUGGCCAAACCCAGGCAUUUUAAUGGGGAAGACUACUGGCCAAUCCAAAGCAUUCUAAUGAUAGAGACACCUAAGCGACUCCAGGCAUUUUAAUGGGAAAGACUCCCAGCCGACCUGAGACAUUCUAAUGGAAGAGAGCCUUGGUUGACCCCAGGCAAUCAAAGAAUAGUAACACCUGGGCGACUCCAGGCAUUCUAAUAGGAAAGAGUCCUAGAUGACACCAGGAAAUCUAAUUAUAAAAACACCAGGGUGACCCAAGGCAUUGUAAUGGGAGACACUCCUGGCAGAACCCAACAGUCUAACGAUUGAGACACCAGUGCAACUCAAAGCAUUGUAAUGGAAGAGACUCCCGCAGACACCAGACAGUCUAAUAAUAAAUUCACCUGGACGACCCAAGGCAUUCCAAUGGGAAAGACUCCCAGCCGACACCAAGUAGUCUAAUGAUAAAAACACAUGAGUGAUUCCCGGCAUUCUAAUGGGAGAAACUACCAGUUGAUCACAGGCUGUAUCAUGAUAGAGACACAUGCAUUUUAAUGGGAGACACUUCUGGCUGACCUGGGGCAGUCUAAUGAUGGAAACACCUGGGCAAAACCAGGUAUUAUAAUGGGAGAGACUGCUGGCUGAAGCCAGGCAUUGUAAUGAUAGAGACACCUGGGCAAUCCAGGCAUUCUAAUGGGACAGACCUUUGGCUGAUUCCAGGGUUUCUAAUAAUAGAGACACCUGGUCGACCCCUGGCUUUCUAAUGGGAGAGACUUGUGUGGACCGCCAGGCAGUCUAAUGAUAGAGACACCUCGGGGACCCCAGGAAAUCCAAUGGGAGAAACUUCCAGGUGACCCCAUUCAUUCUAAUGAUAGAGACACCUGGGCGACCAGAUGCAUUUUAAUGGAAGAGACUCCUGAACGACCUCAGGCAUUCUUAUGAUAGAGACAGUUGGGAGACCCUAGGCAUUCUAAUAAAUCGAACUCCUGGGCGAUCACAGGCAGUCUAAGAUUAGAGACACCUGGGUGACCACAGACAUUCUAAUGGGAGAGACUCCUUGCUGACCACAGGCAGUCUAAGGAUAGAAACACGUUAGCAUUCGCCAAGACACCUUGGCGAUCACAGGCAUUCUAAUGAAAGAGACUCAUGGCCGACCCUAGGCAGUCUAAUAAUAGACAUACUUGGGUGACCCCAAAAAUUCUAAUGUGAGAGACUCCCAGUUGACGUCAGGCAGUUUAAUAAAUGUGAGAGACUCCCGGCCGACCCCAGGUACUCUAAUGAUAGAAGAACCUGGGCCACAUCUGGCAUUCUAAUGGAAGAGACUCCUGGCCGACCCCAGGCGGUCUAAUGAUAAACCUGGGCGGCCCAAUGCAUUCUAAUGGGAAAAACUCUGGUCCAAACCCCAGCAUUUUAAUGGGAGAGACUCCUGGCUGACCCCAGGUGGUCUAACUAAAGAGACACCUGAGAGAACCCAGGCAUUCUAAUGGGAAAGACUACCGGCCAACCCCAGGCAUUCUAAUGAUAGAGACACCUUGUUGAGCCCAGUCUUUCUAAUGGAAGAGAAUCCCAUCCAACCCAAGACAGUCUAAUAAGACACCUGGGCGACCCCAGGCAUUCUAAAGAGACACCUAGGCGACUCCAGGCGAUAUUAUAGCAGAGACUCCCAGCCAACACCAGACAAUGAAAGAAACUCCCAGCGGAUGCCAGGCAGUCUAAUGAUAGAGACACCUGGGCAACCCCAGGCAUUGUAAUGGGAGAGACUCCGGUCCAAUCCCAGGCAUUCUAAUGAGAGAAACACCUGGCUGACCCCAGGCAGUCUAAUAAUAGAGAACCUGGGUGAACCCAGGAAUGCUACUGAAAGAGACUCCCGGCCAAUCUCAGGCAGUCUAAUGAUACAGACCUCUGUGCAACCCCAGGCAUUCUAAUAAUAAAGACUUCCAGCCGAACCCAGACAGUCUAAUGAUAGAGAGACCUUAACGUCCCCAGACAUUCUAACGAGAAGAACUUCUUGCUGACCACAGGCAGUCUAAUGAUAGAGACACCUGGACAACUCCGGGCAUUCUCAUGGGAGAGAAUCUUGGCCAAACCAAGGCAUUCUAAUUAUAGAGACACCUGGGUAAGCCCAGGCAUUCUAAUGGGAAAGACUCUUGGCCGAACCCAGGCAUUCUAAUGAGAGUCUCCUGGUUGACCCAAGGCAGUCUAAGGAUAGAAACGCCUGGGCGACUCCAGAAAUUCUUAUGGGAGAGACUCCUGGUUAAUCCCAGGCAGUCUAAUGAUACAGACACCUGGGCAACACGAGGAAUUCUAAUUAGAGAGACUCCUGGCCUAUCCAGACAGUCUAAUAACAAAGACACUUGGACAAACCCAGGUAUUCUAACGUGAGAGACUCACGGCCAACCCCAGGCAGUCUAAAUAUAGAAACACCUGGGAGACCCCUGGCAUUUUAAUGAAAAAGACUCCGGUCCGACCCCAGUCAGUCUAAUUAAAAAGACACCUGAGUGACCCCCGGCAUUCUAACAGGAAACACUCCUGGCUGACCCCAGGCUGUCAAAUUAUGGAGAUACAUUGUCUACCCCAGGCAUUUUGAUGGGAGAGAAUCCUGGCCAAACUCAAGCAUUUUAAUGGUAGAGACAACUGGGUGAACCCAGGCAUUGUAAGGGGAUAGGUUCUUGGCCGACACCAGGCAUUCUAAUGAUAGGAACAUCUUGUCAACCCCAGGCUUUCUAAUGGGAGAGACUCCCAUCCAAACCCAGGGAGUCUAAUGAUAGAGACACCUGGAAAGCAUUCAAAUGGAAGAGGUACCAGCUGACCCCAGGCAUUCUAAUGAUAGAGACACCUGAGCGACCAGUGGCAUUCUAAUGAUGGAGACAUUUGAGCGACCACAGGCUUUCUAAUGGGUGACACUCCUGGCUAAACCCAGUGUGUCUAAUGAUAGAGACACCUGGGAGACCCCAAACAUUCUAAUGGGAAGGCUGCCAGCCUAACCCAGGCAUUUUAAUGACAGAGACACCUGGUCGACCCCAGGCUUUCCAAUGGGAGAGACUUUCAUACAAACCAGGCAGUCUAAUAAUAGAGAAACCUGGUUGGUCCCAGACAUUACAAAGGGAGAGACUCCUGGCUGACCCCAGACAGUCUAAUGAUAGAGACAUCUGGUGACACCACACAUUCAAAUGAGAGAGACUCCCCACUGAGCCAAGGCAGUCUAAUGAUAGAGACACCUGGGCAAUCCCAGGUGUUCUAAUGGGAGAGACUCCCGACCGACCCCAGGCGUUCUAAUGAGAGAGACUUCUAGCUGACCACUGGCAGACUAAUGAUAAAGACACUGGGGUGAACCUAGCCAUUCUAACGGGAGAGACUCCCAGCUGACACCAGGCAGUCUAAUGAUAGAGACACUUGGGCGACAACAGGCAUUCUAAUGUGAAAGACUCCUGGCUGACUCAAAGCUGUCUAAUUAUAGAGACAGCUGCAUGAACCCAGGCAUUCGAGAGAAAGAUACCCCUGGCCGACCCCAGGCAGUCUCAUCAUAUAAAAACCUGGGCAAUUCCAGACAUUCUAAUGGGAGAGACUCUCGGCCAACACAAGGCAUUCUAAUGGGAGAGAUUCCUUGCAGACAGCAAGCAAUCUAACAAUAGGGACACCUGGGCAACUGAAGGCAUUGAAAUGAGAGAGACUCCUGGUCAACCCCAGGUAAUCUAAUGAAAGUAAAAACUGGGCGACCCAAGGCAUUCUAACGAAAGAUACUUUCAGCCAACACCAGGUGGCCUAGUGACAGAAACACGAGUGACCCCCAGAAUUUUAAUGGAAGAGACUCCUGGUUGAGCCCAGGCAGUCUAAUGAUAGAGACACCUGUGCAACCCUAUGCAUUCUAAUAAAAAAGAGUCACCACCGACCCCAGGAUUUCUACUGAUAGAGACCCCUGGGCAACCCCAGACAUUUUAAUGGGAGAGAUUCCUGGCCGACCCCAGGAAAUCUAAUAGGAGAAACUGCUGGCCUACCUAAGCAGUAUGAGCUUAGAGACACCUGGGCAUCCACAGGCAUUCCAAUGAGAGAGGAUUGCGCCAGCCCAAGGUAGUCUAAAAAUAGAGACAACUGGGUGACCUCAGGCAUUCUAAUGAAAGGGACCCCCUGCCAACUCCAGGUAGUCUAAUGAUAGAAACACCUGGGCGACCCCCGUCAUUCUAAUGGGAGAGACUCCUGGUCGACCCCAGACGGUCUAAUUAUAGAAACACCUGGGUGACCCCAGGCAUUCUAAUGAUAGAGACACAUGGGCGACUUCAGGCAUUCUAAUGGAAAAGACACCCUGCUUACCCCAGGCAUUCUAAUGAAACAGAUUCCUGGCUGAUAUUAGGCAGCCCUAUCAUAGAGGCAUCUAGGCUACCGCAGAAAUUCUAAUGGGAGAGACUACUAGGCGACUCCAGGCAGUCCAAUGAUACAGACACUUGGGUGACCCUAGGCAUUCUAAUGGCAGAGAACCCUGGCUGACCCCAGGCAGUACAAUAAUAGAGACCCCUGGACAACCCUAGGCAUUUCAAUGGGAAACACUCCCAGCUGUCCCUGAACAUUCUAAUGAUAGAGGAACCUUGGAGACCUCAGGCAUUCUAAUGAAAGAGACUCCUGGCUGACCCCAGGCAUUCUAAUGGGAGAAAUUGCUGGCCAACCUCAGGCCACCUAAUGAUAAAGACACCUGGGCGACCACAGGCAUUCUAAAGGGAGAGACUACCGGUCGACCACAGGCUGUCUGAUGAUAGAGACACCUGCGUGAGCCCAGGCAUUCUAAUAAUAGAGACGCGUUGGUGACCCUCAUCAUUUUAAUAAGAGAGAUUCCUGGGUGAACCCAGGCAUUGUCUUAAGAGAGACUCCUGACUGAAUUCAGGCAGCCUAAUUAUAGAGACACCUGGGUGAACCGAAGCAUUCUAAGGGAAGAGAUCCUUGACCAACAGCAGGCAGUCUUAUGAUAGAGACACCUGGGUGACCACAGGCCUUAUUAUGGGAGAGACUUUUUGCCGAACUUAGGCAGUCUAGUGAUAGAGACAGCUGGGCCACACUAGGCAUUCUUAUGGCAGAGACCCCUGACCAACCCCAGACAUUGUAAUUAUAGAGCAACAUGUUUGACCCCAGGCAUUUUAAUGGGAGAGACUCUCGGUCAACCCCAGGGAUUUUUAUGGGAGAGACUACUGGCCAACACAAGGUAGUCUAAUGAAAAAGACACCUGGGCAACCCCAUGCAUUCCAGUGGGAGAGACUCCUGGCCCAACCAAGUUAGUCUAAUAGGGACACCUGGGUAACCACAGGAAUUCUAAUGGGAGAGACCCCUAACCGACCUCAGGCAUUCUAAUGAUAGAAACACCUGGGCAACCACAGGCAUUCUAAUGGGGGAGACUCCCGGCCAACUUCAGCCAUUCUAAUGGGAGAGACUCCUGGCCGAACCCAAGCAGUCUAAUGAUAAAGACACAUGGGUGACCACAGGCAUUCUAACAGGAAAGACUCCAGGUAGACCCCAGGCUGUCUAAAGAUAGAGACACCUGGGCAACCACAGACAUUCUAAUGGGAGAUACUGCCAGCUGACCCCAGUCAUUCUAAUAAGACAGACACCUGGCUGACCCUGGGCAGUCUAAUGAUAAAGACAUCUGGACGACCCCAGGCAUUCUAAAGGGAGAAACUACUGGCCGACUGCAGGCUGUCUAAUGAUAGAGACAGCUCCUCGAGCUCAGGUAUUCAUGGGAGAGAUUCCCAACUGACAUUAGAAUGGCAGGCAUUCUAAUGAUAGAGACACCUGGGCGACCACAGGUAUUGUAAUGGGAGAGGUUCCCCAUCGUCCACACUCAUUGUAAUGAUGGAGGCACCUGAACGAUCUCAGGUAUUGUCAUGAUAGAGACACCUGUGCGACCCCAGGCACUCAAAUGGGAGAGACUCCCAGCAGACACCAGGCAGUCUAAUGAGAGAGAUUCCUGGCUGAACCCAGGCAGUCAAAUGAUAAAGACAUCUGGGCAAAACCAGGCAUUCUAAAGGGAGAGACUCCUGGCUAACCCCAGGCAGUCUAACAGUAGACACCUGGGCGACCUCAGUCAUUCUAAUGGGAGAGGCUCAGCCCACCCCAGUGAUUCUAAUGGGAGAGACUUGUCUGAUCCCAGGCAGUUUAAGGUUAGAGACUCCUGAGCAACACCCAGGCAUUCUAAUAUGAGAGACUCCCGGCUGACAUAAGGAAGUCUAAAGAUAGAGACACCUGAGCAACCAGAGGCAUUCUAAUGGGAGAGACUCUCAUGCGAUCCCAGGCAGUCUUAUGAUAGAGACACCUAGGCAAUCGCAGGCAUUUUAAUGGGAGAGACUCCCGGUCAUCCAGAGGCAUUGUAAUGAUGGAGACAUCUGGAAGAUGGCAAGCAUUGUAAUGAUAGGGACACCUGUGUGACCCCAGGCACACAAAUGGGAGAAACUCCCAGCCAACACCAGGCAUUCUAAUAAGAGAGAUUCCUGGCUGACCCCAGGUGGUCAAAUGAUAAAGACACGUAAGCGAAACCAGGCAUUCUAAUGAGAGAGACUCCUGGCUAACCCCAGGCAGUCUAAUAAUAGAGACACGUGGGCAACCCCAGUCAUUCUAAUGGGAGAGACUCCCAGCCACCCUCAGUGAUUCUAAUGGAAGAGACUCUUGUCUGACCCUAGGCAGGUGAGAUUCCUGGGCGACUCCAGGCAUUCUAAUAAGACAAAUUCCCAGCCCAAGCAAGACAGUCUAAGGAUACACAGCUGAGCAACAUCAGGCAUUUUAAUGGGAGAGACUCCUGGCUGAAUCCAGACAGUCUAAUUAUACAGACUCCUGGGUGACUGCAGGCAUUCUAAUGAAAGAGACUCCCAGCUGAACCCAGGCAGUGUGAUUAUAGAGACACUUAGGUGACCCCAGACAUUCUAAUGGGAGAGACUCCUGGAUGACCCCAUUCUAAUGAUAGAGACACCUGUGCGACCCCAGGCUGUCUAAUGAUAGAGACAGCUGGGGAACCUGAGGCAUUCUUAUGGGAGAGGCCCAGGGCCAACCCCAGGUAUUCUAAUGAUAGAGACACUGGGCGACACUAGACAUUUUAAUGAGAGAGACAACCAACCAGCCCAAGGCAGUCUAGUGAUACAAACACCUGGUCGACCCCAGGCAUUCUACUGAAAGAAACUCCUGGCCAAACCCUGGCAUUCUAAUGAUAGAGACAAGUGAGCAUUUUAGUAAUAGAGACACCUGGGCUACAACAGGCAUUUUUUUAUGUGAGAGACUCCUGGCAACCCCAGGCAUUCUAAUGGAGAGACUCCUGGCUGACCACAGGCAGUCUAAUGAUAGAGACACUUGAGUGACCCCAGACAUUAUAAUGGAAGAGACUCCUGGCCGACAUCUUGCAGUCUAAUUUAAGUGACAACUGAGUGAACACAGGCAUUCUAAUGGGAGAGACUCCUGGCUGACCAAGGCAGUCUGUGGAUAGAGACACCUGGGUGACCCCAGGCAUUCUAAUGGGAAAGAUUUCUAGUUGACCACUGGCAGUCUAAUUAUAGAGACACAUGGGAGACCCCGGGCAUUCUAAUGAAAGAGACUCCUGGCCAACCCCAGGCAAUCUAAUGAUAGAGGCACCUGGGCGACCCAAGGCAUUCUAAUGGGAGAGACUCCUGGCCAACCUCAGUGAUUGUAAUGGAAAAGACUCUUGUCCGCCUUCAGGCUAUCUAAGGAUAAAAGCUCCUUGGUACCUCCAGGCAUUCUAAUGAGAGGGACUCCCAGCCAAAUCCAGGCAGUCUAAUGAUAGAGACACUUGGGUGACCCCAGGCAUUUUAAUAGGAGAGACUCCUGACCUGCCCCAGGCAGUUUAAUUUUACACACUUCUGGGAGACCCCAGACAUUGUAAUGAAAAAGACCCCCGGCCAACCCCAGGCAGUGUGAUGAUAGAGACAAUUGGGCUACUCCAGGCAUUCUAAUGGGAGAGGCUCCCAGACAACCUUAGGCAUUCUAAUGAUAGAGACACCUCUGUGACUCCAGACAGUCUAAUGGGAGUGACUGCAGUCAAACCCACACAUUCUAAUGGGGGAGACUCCCUGCCAACCUCAGGCAGUUUAAUGAUAGAGAUACCAGGGCGACCCCAGGCAUUGUAAUGAGAGCGACUGCUUGCUGACCUAAGGCAAUGUAAUGAUAGACACACCUGGGAGACCCCAGGCAUUCUAAUGGGAGAGAUUCCUAGUUGACCACAGUCAGUCUAAUUAUACAGACAGCAGGGCUACCCCAGGCAUUCUAAUGGGAUAGGCUCCUGGCCCACCCCAGGCAGUCUAAUGAUAGAGACAUAUAGGCGACCACAAGCAUUCUAAUGAAAGAGACUCCUGGCUGACCCCAGGCAGUCUAAUGAACAGAAGAAACUCCUGGCCAAACCCAGGCAGUCUAAUUAUGCAGAGUCCUGGGAGACCCCAGGCAUUCUAAUGAAAAAGACUCCCAGCCAAACCCAGGCAAAGUGAUAGAGAAACUUGGGUGACUGCAGGCUUUCUAAUGAGACAGACUCCUGGCUGAUCCGAGGCAUUCUAAUGUUAGAGACACUUGGGCGACCCCAGGCAUUAUAAUAUAAUGAUAGAGACACCUUUGCCACCCCAGGCAGUCUAAUGAUAGAGAUACAUUGGCGACCCCAGGGAUUCUAAUAAGAGAGACUCUUGCUUAAACACAGUGAUUCUAAUAGAAGAGACUUGUGUCCUACUCGAGGCAGUCUAAGGAUAGAGACUCCUGGGUGAUCCCAGCAUUCUAAUGGGAGAGACUCCUGGCAGAACCCAGGGAAUCUAAUGAUAGAGACACCAGGGUGACCCCAGACAUUCUAAUGGGUGAGAUUUUUGGCCGACAAUAGGCAGUUCAAUUAUACAGACUCCUGGGCAAUCCCCAGCAUUUUAAUGGGAGACACUACCCAUGGACCCCAGGCAGUCUAAUUAUAGAGACAAUUGAAUGACACCACACAUUCUAAUGGAAGACACUUCCGGAUGACCCAGACAUCCUAAUGAUAGAGACACUUGUGCAACCCCAGCCAGCCUAAUGAUAGAAACACCUGGGCGACUUUAGGCAUUCUUACGGGAGAGACCUCCAGCUGACCCCAGUAAUUCUGAUGAUAGAGACCCCUGGUUGACCCCUGUCAUUCUGAUGGGAGAAACUCCUGGCUGACACAAUGUAGUCUAAUGGUAGAAACAUCUUGGCGACCCCAGGCAUUCUAAUGGGAGAGACUCCUGACAAAACUUUGGCAUUCUAAUGAUAAAGACAAGUGGGCAACCCCAAGCAUUGUAAUGGUAAAGACACCUGGGUGAUCCCAGGAAUUCUAAUGUGAGAGACUCCUGGCCAACCCCAGGCAUUCUAAUAAAGAGACUUCUGUCUGACCACAGGCUGUCUAGUGAUAGAGAUACCAGGGUUACUCCAGGCAUUCUAAUGAAAGAGACUCCUGGCGGACCCCAGACAGUCUAUUUAAAGUGAUAACCUGGGCCACCACAGGCACUCUAAUGGAAGAGACUCCUGGCUGACCCCAGGCAUUCUAAUGGGAGAGAAUCCUGGCCGAACCCAGGCAGCCAAUGGAUAGAGACACCUGAGCAAACCCAGGCAUUCUAAUGAAAGAGACUCCCGGCCGACCCCAGGCAGUCUAAUAAUAGAGACACGUGAGUGGACACAGGCAUUCUAAUAGGAGAGAUUCCUGGCUGACCCAAGCAGUCUAAUUAUAGACACCUGGGUGACUCCAGGCUUUCUAAUAGGAGAAACCCCAGGCUGACCCUAAGCAGUCUGAUGAUAGAGGCUUCUUGGUGACGGCAAGCAUUCUAAUGUGAGAGACUCUCGGCCAACCCCAGGCAUUCUAAUGAUAGAGACAUUUGGGAGCCCCCAGUUAUUUUAAUGAUAGAGACACCUGAGCGACCCUAAGCAUUCUAAUGGGAGACAACAAGGCUGAAACCAGGCUUUCUAAUGGGGAGACACCUGGCUGAUCCCCAACAGUCUAAUCAUAAAAAACACCUGGAUGACUCCAGUCAUUUUAAUGGCAGAGACUCCCGGUCUACCCCAGGUGUUUUAAUGGGGAGACUUCUGACCGACCCCAGGCAGUCUAAUCAUAAAGACAGCUGGGCUAAGCCAGACAGUCUAAUGAAAGAGAUUGCCAGCCGAACACUGGCUGUUUAAUUAUAAAGACACUUGGGCAAUCCCAGGCGUUCCAAUGGAGGAGACUCCCAGCUGACCACAAGCAGUCUAAUGGUAUUGACACCUGGAAGUCCCAAGACAUUCUAAUGGAAGAGAUUCCCGUCCUACCACAGGCAUUCUAAUGAUAGAGAUACCUGGGCCACCCCAGGCAUUCUAAUGGGAGAGACUCCUGGCUGACAACAGACAGUCUAAUGAUAGAGAAACUUGGGCGAACCCAGUAUUCUGAUUGGAGAGAUUCUAGGCAGUCUGAUAGUGACAACUGGGCAACUACAGGCAUUCUAAUGGGAGAGGCUAAUGGCUGACCACAGGCAUUUUAAUUGGAGAGAAUCCUGACUGACCCAAGGAAAUUUAAGGAUAGAGACACCCGGGUGAUCCCAGACAUUCUAACGGGAGAGACUCCUGACCGACACCAGACAGUCUAAUUACAGAGACACUUGGGCUAUCCCAGGCAUUCUACUGAAAGUGACUCCCGUUUGACUCCAGGCAGUCUAAUGAUAGAAAUACCUGGUUGACUUCAGGCAUUGUAAUGGGAGAGACCCCCAUCCAAUCCCAGGCAGUCUAAUGAUAGAGACAGCUGGGCGACCCCAGGCGUUCUAAUAGAGUAUCGGCUAACCACAGGCAGUCUAAUGAGAGAGACAACGUGGAGACCUGAUUCAUUCUAAUCAAAGAGACUCCCAGCGAACCCCAGUCAUUCUAGUAAAAGAGACACUUGUCCGACUUCAGGCAGUCUAAGUAUAGAGACUGCGGGGCAACCCCACACAUUCUAAUGGGAGAGAGUCUGGGCCAAACCCAGGCAGUCUAAUUAUAGGACACGUGAGCGACCAAACUCAUUCUAAUGGGAGAAACUCCUGGCGGGCCCCAUGCCACCUAAUGAUAGAGACACUUGGACGACCCCAGGCAUUCUAAUGGGAAAGAUUCUUGGCCGACCCCAUGCUGCCUAAUGAUAGAGACAUCUGAGUGAACCCAGGCAUUCUAAUGAGAGAUGCUCCUUGCCUAUUCCAGGCAUUCUAAUGACAGAGACACCUGGGCAACCCCAGGCAUUGUAAUGAUACAGACAUGUGGGCGAUUUCAGGCAUUCUAAUGAAAGAGACUCCCUGCGGACCCAGGCAUUCUAAUGAGAGAGACUCUCAGCCGAUCUCAGGCAGUCUAAUGAUAGAGACACUGGAGUGACCAAAAGGAUUUUAAUAAAAGAGACUACCGGGCAACCACAGGCACAGACAAUCUAAUAAUAGAGACACCUGGGUGACUUUAGACAUUUCAGUGGGAGAGACUCCCAGCCGGCCCCGAGCAAUCUAAUGAUAGAGACACCUGGGAAACCUCAUGUAUUCUAAUGGGAGAAACUUUUGGCUGGCCCCAGACAUUCUAAUGGGAGAGACUGCUGGCCGACCCCAGGCAGUCUAAUGAUAGAGACACCUUGGCCACCCCCGUAUUCUAAAGGGAGAGACUAUUGACAGUCCCCAGAUUUUUUAAUGAUACAGACACCUGCGUGAGCCUAAGCAUUUUAAAAGGAGAGACUCUUGGUGACCACAGACAUUCUAAUAAUAGAGACACCUUGGCGAUUCCAGUCAUUCUAAUAGGAAAGACUCUCUUCUGAACCCAGGCAUUGUCUUGGGAGAUAAUCCUGGCUGAACCCAGACAGUCUAAUUAUAAAGACACCUGGGCAAGCCUAGGCAUUCUAAUGGGAGAUACCUCCCCAGUGUCCCCAGGCAGUCUAAUGAUAGAGACACCUUGACGACCACAGGCAUUAUUAUGAGAGACACACUUUGCCAAACUCAGGCAGUCUAAUGCUAGAGACAAUUGGGCGACAAGCAUUCUAGCGGGAAAAACUCCCGGCUGACCCCAGGCAUUGUAAUAAAAGAAAAGCCUGAGUGAUCCCAGCCAUUUUCAUGGGAGAGACACUUGUUCGACCCCAGGCAUUCUUAUGGGAGGGACUACUGGCCAACACCAGACAGUCUAAUAAAAAAGACAUGUAGAUGACCCCAUGCAUUCUUUUUUUUUCACACUUUAAAUACUUUAUUUAUAUAAAAACUCAUUUGUUUUUAAAAGCAUUAACAAGACAGAAAGAAAAGAGAAAAAGUAUGGAGCAGAACACAAGCCCGUUAGCAGUGUUCGGUGGGAAGGUGGGAUUUUUGGUUCUCUGGAAUUGAAUGUUUAGUGUUUUUAUAAACAAAAGAGGAAAAAAAAGUUAAAGGUCCCCAAAAGCCCAUGGCUAUCCUAUUACCCAUACCCCACUGAGAAGGGAGGGGGCAGGGAUAGCAUUAGGAGAUAUACCUAAUGCUAAAUGACGAGUUAAUGGGUGCAGCACACCAACAUGGCACAUGUAUACGUAUGUAACAAACCUGCACGUUGUGCACAUGUACCCUAAAACUUAAAGUAUAAUAAUAAUAAAAUUAAAUA